GGAUCGCUAUCCUCAAAAUAGUUGAAAUGACAGAGCGUACCACCAGCCUCAUCAGCAAAAGAAAUCUUCCUUCCCUCUCUGUGGACUGAGUUCUUGGAAUCAGUCGAACCAUUUUGAGUCAAUUUCAUGAUUUUACAGAAUCUGGUGCAGUCCCUUGUCAUCAUGGACAACCACUUUCGUGUUGUCUCUUCAACUUUCGUAGCACCUUUUAUGGC
rnacentral:misc_RNA from 1 species